AACGGCCAUACCAUGCUGAAUAUACCGGUUCUCGUUAGAUCACCGAAGUCAAGCAUCAUUGGGCGCGGUCAGUACUUGGGUGGGUGACCACCUUGGAGCACCGCGUGCCGUU